GUUUCCCUCAAGGCGGCGGCGAAGGUGGGAACGACGAUUGCUGGCGGGACCGGGUUGAGGAGGAGUAGACCUCUUCACGCGCGUUCGGGACGGACCGCCGCUACCUCCGGUGCUCGUGCGCGCGCUUCAGGGACUGGCCGCGGGUCACCAUCACCUGCUGAGCAGU